UACGUAGGGUGCAAGCGUUGUCCGGAAUUAUUGGGCGUAAAGAGCUCGUAGGCGGUCUGUCGCGUCUGCUGUGAAAAUCCAGGGCUCAACCCUGGACCUGCAGUGGGUACGGGCAGACUAGAGUGCGGUAGGGGAGAUCGGAAUUCCUGGUGUAGCGGUGAAAUGCGCAGAUAUCAGGAGGAACACCGGUGGCGAAGGCGGAUCUCUGGGCCUUACCUGACGCUCAGGUGCGAAAGCUAGGGGAGCGAGCAGG
rnacentral:rRNA from 1 species